rnacentral:tRNA from 1 species
AGGCCGCUAGCUCAGCCGGUAGAGCACGUGACUUUUAAUCACGGGGUCGCGGGUUCGACCCCCGCGCGGCCUACCA